rnacentral:rRNA from 1 species
CCUACGGGAGGCAGCAGUGAGGAAUAUUGGUCAAUGGGCGUAAGCCUGAACCAGCCAAGUCGCGUGAGGGAUGAAGGUUCUAUGGAUCGUAAACCUCUUUUAUAAGGGAAUAAAGUGUGGGACGUGUCCUGUUUUGUAUGUACCUUAUGAAUAAGGAUCGGCUAACUCCGUGCCAGCAGCCGCGGUAAUACGGAGGAUCCGAGCGUUAUCCGGAUUUAUUGGGUUUAAAGGGUGCGUAGGCGGCCUUUUAAGUCAGCGGUGAAAGUCUGUGGCUCAACCAUAGAAUUGCCGUUGAAACUGGGAGGCUUGAGUAUGUUUGAGGCAGGCGGAAUGUGUGGUGUAGCGGUGAAAUGCUUAGAUAUCACGCAGAACCCCGAUUGCAAAGGCAGCCUGCCAAGCCAUGACUGACGCUGAUGCACGAAAGCGUGGGGAUCAAACAGGAUUAGAUACCCCAGUAGUC